AACGAACGCUGGCGGCAUGCCUAACACAUGCAAGUCGAACGAGACCUUCGGGUCUAGUGGCGCACGGGUGCGUAACGCGUGGGAACCUGCCCUUAGGUUCGGAAUAACUCCCCGAAAGGGGUGCUAAUACCGGAUAAUGUCUUCGGACCAAAGAUUUAUCGCCUUUGGAUGGGCCCGCGUUGGAUUAGCUAGUUGGUAGGGUAAAAGCCUACCAAGGCGACGAUCCAUAGCUGGUCUGAGAGGAUGAUCAGCCACACUGGGACUGAGACACGGCCCAGACCCCUAGGGGAGGAGCAGGGGGGGAAUAUUGGAAAAGGGGCGAAAGCUGAACCCAGCAAUGCCGGGGGGGGAAGGAGGCCCUUGGGGUUGAAAACCUUUUUUCCCCGGAAUGAUAAUGACAGUACCGGAAAAAUAAGCCCCGGCUACCCCCGUC
rnacentral:rRNA from 1 species